UGGGGAAUAUUGGACAAUGGGCGAAAGCCUGAUCCAGCCAUGCCGCGUGUGUGAAGAAGGUCUUCGGAUUGUAAAGCACUUUAAGUUGGGAGGAAGGGCAGUAAGCGAAUACCUUGCUGUUUUGACGUUACCGACAGAAUAAGCACCGGCUAACUCUGUGCCAGCAGCCGCGGUAAUACAGAGGGUGCAAGCGUUAAUCGGAAUUACUGGGCGUAAAGCGCGCGUAGGUGGUUCGUUAAGUUGAAUGUGAAAGCCCCGGGCUCAACCUGGGAACUGCAGCCAAAACUGGCGGGCUAUAGUAGGGCAGAGGGUGGUGGAAUUUCCUGUGUAGCGGUGAAAUGCGUAGAUAUAGGAAGGAACACCAGUGGCGAAGGCGACCACCUGGGCUCAUACUGACACUGAGGUGCGAAAGCGUGGGGAGGAAACAGG
rnacentral:rRNA from 1 species